rnacentral:rRNA from 1 species
UACAGAGGCUCCAAGCGUUAUCCGGAAUCACUGGGCGUAAAGGGUGUGUAGGUGGUUUUGUUAGUCGUCUGUUAAAGCUCUCGGCCUAACCGGGAAAAUGCAGGCGAAACGGCAAGACUAGAGGGUGCGAGGGGUCUGUGGAACUCAUGGAGUAGGGGUGAAAUCCGUUGAUAUCAUGGGGAACAUCAAAAGCGAAGGCAGCAGACUGGCGCAUUCCUGACACUGAAACACGAAAGCGUAGGUAGCGAAUGGG